GACGAACGCUGGCGGCGUGCCUAAUACAUGCAAGUCGAACGCUUUUUCUUUCACCGGAGCUUGCUCCACCGAAAGAAAAAGAGUGGCGAACGGGUGAAUAACACGUGGGUAACCUGCCCAUCAGAAGGGGAUAACACUUGGAAACAGGUGCUAAUACCGUAUAACACUAUUUUCCGCAUGGAAGAAAGUUGAAAGGCGCUUUUGCGUCACUGAUGGAUGGACCCGCGGUGCAUUAGCUAGUUGGUGAGGUAACGGCUCACCAAGGCAACGAUGCAUAGCCGACCUGAGAGGGUGAUCGGCCACACUGGGACUGAGACACGGCCCAGACUCCUACGGGAGGUAGCAGUAGGGAAUCUUCGGCAAUGGACGAAAGUCUGACCGAGCAACGCCGCGUGAGAGAAGAAGGUUUUCGGAUCGUAAAACUCUGUUGUUAGAGAAGAACAAGGAUGAGAGUAAAACGUUCAUCCCUUGACGGUAUCUAACCAGAAAGCCACGGCUAACUACGUGCCAGCAGCCGCGGUAA
rnacentral:rRNA from 1 species